ACGGGUGCGUAACGCGUAUGCAACUUGCCUCACAGAGGGGGAUAACCCGUCGAAAGACGGACUAAUACCGCGUACACUCUAUGUUGGGCAUCCAAUGUAGAGGAAAUGAAAUUCGCUGUGAGAUAGGCAUGCGUCCCAUUAGCUAGUUGGUGAGGUAACGGCUCACCAAGGCGACGAUGGGUAGGGGAACUGAGAGGUUGAACCCCCACACUGGUACUGAGACACGGACCAGACUCCUACGGGAGGCAGCAGUGAGGAAUAUUGGUCAAUGGGCGAGAGCCUGAACCAGCCAAGUCGCGUGAAGGAUGACUGUCUUAUGGAUUGUAAACUUCUUUUAUACGGGAAUAACAAGAGCCACGUGUGGCUCCCUGCAUGUACCGUAUGAAUAAGCAUCGGCUAACUCCGUGCCAGCAGCCGCGGUAACACGGAGGAUGCGAGCGUUAUCCGGAUUUAUUGGGUUUAAAGGGUGCGUAGGCGGCCUGUUAAGUCAGCGGUGAAAUCUAGGAGCUUAACUCCUAAAUUGCCAUUGAUACUGGCGGGCUUGAGUGUAGAUGAGGUAGGCGGAAUGCGUGGUGUAGCGGUGGAAUGCAUAGAUAUCACGCAGAACUCCGAUUGCGAAGGCAGCUUACUAAGGUACAACUGACGCUGAAGCACGAAAGCGUGGGUAUCAAACAGGAUUAGAUACCCUGGUAGUCCACGCAGUAAAC
rnacentral:rRNA from 1 species